UAAUACGAAGGGAGCUAGCGUUACUCGGAAUCACUGGGCGUAAAGCGUGCGUAGGCGGCUUUGUAAGUCAGGAGUGAAAGCCUGGGGCUCAACCCCAGAACUGCUCUUGAAACUGCAAGGCUAGAGUGUCGUAGGGGAUGGCGGAAUUUCUAGUGUAGAGGUGAAAUUCGUAGAUAUUAGAAGGAACACCGGUGGCGAAGGCGGCCAUCUGGGCGACAACUGACGCUGUUGCACGAAAGCGUGGGGAGCAAACAGG
rnacentral:rRNA from 1 species